rfam:Schistosoma haematobium scaffold2273_2, whole genome shotgun sequence.
AUUCAGCUGAAGAGUCCCAAAUAGAAUGAAACGCGCAUCCUAGAU